GAGGCCCUCCUCCAGGCACCACACUGCCAUCUAACUGCAACCGGAGGCCUGGCAGAAAAUGGCGCCACUCCGCAGGCACGAAGUAAAAUGGGUCAGAUUUUUGAUCAUGCUUUGGUAAUAACUCUACAAGGAGGACAGGCGUCCCAGAAGGAAAAUGAGAUGAUUUGGUACUCAGGUGGAAUGCCAGAGAGGAGCGACAGACAGAAUUCUGGUGGAAUAUGGGAACUCAGCUGUGACAGCGGCAGGGGUGCUUGGGAUAUGGAGUGCAGAAAUGCAUGGCAUGGUAACAGAAGCAUUCCUGGUCCGACAUAAAAGAUAGCCAACACUCAACUGAUGGCGAAAGGAGGAAAAUUGUGUAAUUAUUGUGUAUUUUGGCUGAUUUCUGGAGAGAUGAUUGUGAAACGGUACAAUGUUGGAAUAAAUAUUCUUUAUUUU